GUCUAUGGCCAUGCCACCCUGAACACGCCCGAUCUCAUAUGAUCUCGGAAGCUAAGCAGGGUCGGGCCCAGUUAGUACUUGGCUGGGAGACCACCUAGGAAGACUGGGUGCUGUAGGUG
rnacentral:rRNA from 1 species